GUUAAGCGACUAAGCGUACACGGUGGAUGCCCUGGCAGUCAGAGGCGAUGAAGGGCGUGCUAAUCUGCGAUAAGCGCCGGUAAGGUGAUAUGAACCGUUAUAACCGGCGAUACCCGAAUGGGGAAACCCAGUGUGAUUCGUCACACUAUCAUUAACUGAAUCCAUAGGUUAAUGAGGCGAACCGGGGGAACUGAAACAUCUAAGUACCCCGAGGAAAAGAAAUCAACCGAGAUUCCCCCAGUAGCGGCGAGCGAACGGGGAGGAGCCCAGAGCCUGAAUCAGCAUGUGUGUUAGUGGAAGCGUCUGGAAAGGCGCGCGAUACAGGGUGACAGCCCCGUACACAAAAGCGCAUGUGCUGUGAGCUCGAUGAGUAGGGCGGGACACGUGGUAUCCUGUCUGAAUAUGGGGGGACCAUCCUCCAAGGCUAAAUACUCCUGACUGACCGAUAGUGAACCAGUACCGUGAGGGAAAGGCGAAAAGAACCCCGGCGAGGGGAGUGAAAAAGAACCUGAAACCGUGUACGUACAAGCAGUGGGAGCACAGGUUUACCUG
rnacentral:rRNA from 4 species